rnacentral:rRNA from 1 species
UCAAGCCAGUCCUCGCCUGGUGUCCCACUGAAGCUAAGCAGGGUUGAGCCUGGACAGUACCUGGAUGGGAGACCUCCUGGGGAAAACUAGGUUGCUGCUGGAA